rnacentral:rRNA from 1 species
UACGAAGGGGGCGAGCGUUGUUCGGAUUUACUGGGCGUAAAGGGCGCGCAGGCGGCCGCAUUUGUCAGGCGUGAAAGCCCCGGGCUUAACCUGGGAACUGCGUUUGAUACGGUGUGGCUAGAGUUCGGGAGAGGAGAGUGGAAUUCCCAGUGUAGAGGUGAAACUCGUAGAUAUUGGGAAGAACACCGGUGGCGAAGGCGGCUCUCUGGACCGAUACUGACGCUGAGGUGCGAAAGCGUGGGGAGCAAACAGG